AUGGACGCCGGCGGCGAGACUGCGGCCGUCCUCCACCGCCUGGGCCUGCCCCUCCGCCCCCGCCCCACGCCGGUCUCUCUGGCCCCGUACUUGCCUCUCCACCACUUCUCCUCGAAGCUGACAAUUUCCCCACUCCACGCGAGCGAUGAAGGCGACGACGAGACGACGCCCGGCCUCAUCUCGCCGGCGACGGAGGUGCUGGGCAAAGACGACCUCCUCGCCGAGAUCCUCGCACGUCUCCCCCCGCAGCCGUCCUUGAUCCUGCACGCCUCCAUCGUCUCCAAGCGCUGGGGUCACCUCGCCGCAUCCGCUGCCUUCCGCCGGCGCUUGCGCAAUCACCACGGCAGGCCCCCUGUCCUGGGCGCAUUCGAGAGGGACGGGAAGAAGCUCCUCUUCAUCCCUGCCCUGGACUCUCCAGAUCGCAUCCCCGCGGAGAGGUUCUCGCUCCAGGUCUGCGCCGACGAGGCCACCAAUGACCACUGGGGCGUGCUCGGCUGCCGCCAUGGGCGCGUCCUCAUCAUCAACCGGACGCGGUGUGAGCUCGUGGUGUUUGAUCCCGUUUCCGGCGACCACUGCAUUGUGGCGUUUCCACCGGAUUUCGACCAGCACGCGUACAACGCCAACGGAGCUUUGAUCGGCGACGAGCAGCUCCGGUCCAGCGCAUUUCAGUUGGUCUUGGUAGGCUUUUCUGCCAAUGACGGCGCAGGAGUUACCGCGGCCCGCGUCUACUCCUCGGAGACCGGCGAGUGGGGACAACUCGUUGCUGCAGCGAGACCAUGUGCUGUUGGCCAUCUCCCCUGUACACUUAUUGGCAAAAGGCUCUACUGGUGGCUCACUGAGCGUGACCAUGGUAUACUGGAAUUCAAUAUGGAAACCAAGAGCCUAGGUGUGAUCACCAAGCCUUCCAUUGAGAACAUCCACAGCUGCCGGAGCCGGAUCAUCAAUGGAGAGGAUGGCAGUGUUGGACUCGUCGUAUUCUCGUACCCUAGCAUGCAAAUGUGGGACCGUAAGCUCAGUGAUCGGGGUGUCGCGACAUGGGUGCUGCGGAAGACAGUUGACAUGCGUGGCAAGCUUGCUCUGCCGUCUAGCAUGGAGGCAGGGAAAUCGACUAUUCUGGGGUACACUGAGGAUGCGGAUGCGGUUAUUAUAUCGGUGCACACAUUCCCCUGGGUGCAGAAUGGCGACGUUUAUGUCUUCCUGGUUCAACUCGACUUAAUGCAGUGCAAGAAACUACAUGGAAGCUUUAUGGAAAAUUCCUAUCACCCUUAUGCAAAUUUCUAUGCCGGCCCGACAGCGCUCAAACUUCUUGGUCGUCUAGACAGUGAUCGGGAUGCUGCUGUACCACAAGCGUAA
rnacentral:rRNA from 1 species